CUACGGGAGGCAGCAGUGGGGAAUAUUGGGCAAUGGGCGAAAGCCUGACCCAGCAACGCCGCGUGAAGGAAGAAGGCUUUCGGGCCGUAAACUUCUAUCCCAGGUGAAGAUAAUGACGGUAGCCUGGAAGGAAGCCCCGGCUAACUACGUGCCAGCAGCCGCGGUAAUACGUAGGGGGCAAGCGUUGUCCGGAAUGAUUGGGCGUAAAGGGCGCGUAGGCGGCCCUUUAAGUCCGAUGUGAAAGUCCUGCUUUUAAGGUGGGAAUCGCAUUGGAAACUGGAGGGCUUGAGUGCAGGAGAGGUAAGUGGAAUUCCCGGUGUAGCGGUGAAAUGCGUAGAGAUCGGGAGGAACACCAGUGGCGAAGGCGACUUACUGGACUGUAACUGACGCUGAGGCGCGAAAGUGUGGGGAGCAAACAGGAUUAGAUACCCCUGUAGUC
rnacentral:rRNA from 1 species